UAGUCCACGCCGUAAACGAUGACAACUAGCCGUUGGACUCCUUGAGGGUUUAGUGGCGCAGCUAACGCGAUAAGUUGUCCGCCUGGGGAGUACGGCCGCAAGGUUAAAACUCAAAUGAAUUGACGGGGGCCCGCACAAGCGGUGGAGCAUGUUGUUUAAUUCGAUGCAACGCGAAGAACCUUACCACCCCUUGACAUACUAGGAAUUUUCCAGAGAUGGAUUAGUGCCUUCGGGAACCUAGAUACAGGUGCUGCAUGGCUGUCGUCAGCUCGUGUCGUGAGAUGUUGGGUUAAGUCCCGUAACGAGCGCAACCCUUGCCCUUAUUUGCCAGCGGAUUAUGCCGGGAACUCUAAGGGGACUGACGGUGACAAACCGUAGGAAGGUGGGGACGACGUCAAGUCAUCAUGGCCCUUACGGGGUGGGCUACAAACGUGCUACAAUGGUAGUGACAGUGAGUUAAUCUCCAAAAACUAUCUCAGUUCGGAUUGGGGUCUGCAACUCGACUCCAUGAAGUCGGAAUCGCUAGU
rnacentral:rRNA from 1 species